rnacentral:rRNA from 1 species
AUUGAACGCUGGCGGCAUGCCUUACACAUGCAAGUCGAACGGCAGCACGGGGGCAACCCUGGUGGCGAGUGGCGAACGGGUGAGUAACACAUCGGAACGUGUCCUGUUGUGGGGGAUAACCAGUCGAAAGACUGGCUAAUACCGCAUGAGCUGGAGACAGGAAAGCGGGGGGACCUGAAAGGGCCUCGUGCGACUGGAGCGGCCGAUGUCCGAUUAGCUAGUUGGUGGGGAAAGGCCCACCAAGGCGACGAUCGGUAGCUGGUCUGAGAGGAUGAUCAGCCACACUGGGGACUGAGACACGGGCCCAGACUCCUACGGGGAGGCAGCAGUGGGGAAUUUUGGACAAUGGGGGCAACCCUGAUCCAGCCAUGCCGCGUGAGUGAAGAAGG